rnacentral:rRNA from 1 species
GAUGAACGCUGGCGGCGUGCCUAAUACAUGCGAGUCGAGCGAACAGACGAGGAGCUUGCUCCUCUGACGUUAGCGGCGGACGGGUGAGUAACACGUGGAUAACCUACCUAUAAGACUGGGAUAACUACGGGAAACCGGAGCUAAUACCGGAUAAUAUAUUGAACCGCAUGGUUCAAUAGUGAAAGACGGUGUUGCUGUCACUUAUAGAUGGAUCCGCGCCGCAUUAGCUAGUUGGUAAGGUAACGGCUUACCAAGGCAACGAUGCGUAGCCGACCUGAGAGGGUGAUCGGCCACACUGGAACUGAGACACGGUCCAGACUCCUACGGGACGCAGCAGUAGGGAAUCUUCCGCAAUGGGCGAAAGCCUGACGGAGCAACGCCGCGUGAGUGAUGAAGGUCUUCGGAUCGUAAAACUCUGUUAUUAGGGAAGAACAAAUGUGUAAGUAACUAUGCACGUCUUGACGGUACCUAAUCAGAAAGCCACGGCUAACUACGUG